ACAUGUCUAUCUGUGUAUGUGCACAGCAGGCCCAGCUGCCCCUGCUUCCUCCCUCCACGGGAUCUGCUCCUGCUGCUGCUGCUGCUGCUGCUGGAGUCUCCUCUGGCCACGGUGGCGUGGGGCGAGUUCUUUUGUCAAGCAGGAUCUACCGUUUGUCAACCCCUUGUGACCGGGCCUGAUCCCCUGGUUGACCUUUAAUGAAUCGCAACGUUAUCCAUCCCAUAACCUACCCUGGCACCGAGGUAAGACUGAUAGGUCUGUAGCUCCCAGGAUCAUCUUCUGGCCCCUUCUGACCUUGAGACCUCAUGCGGCUGUCUCUAAAGUGUCUUGCCCACCUCUUCAUCCUGGUUGGGUGGCCUGUAGCACACUCCCACGCUAACGUCAGUCUUACUGGCCUUUGCUUUUAUUCUGACCUAGAAGCUCUCAGCCCUAUCAUGGCCAUCGUUCAUUUCCAGACAUUCCCAUUCUUUCUUAACGUAGAGGGCUGCACCACUGCCUUUCCUGCCUUGCCUCUCUCUUUGGAAAAGUCGCUAGCCAUCCUUCACAGCACUCCAGCUGUGCAUUGUGUUCAACUUAGGAAAUGAACGCAUGAAGAAUAGCUUUGUUUGCAUGCUGGUAACUGCUGAGGCUUUGGCUGACGACAGCUUUCAGCUGCACCUGAACUAGGCUGGAUUUGUCUCCUGCUCUCCAUAGGUGAGUAUUUCUCUUUCAUACCUUUGAAGCAGCUUUGUACACAGCUUAAGUGAUGGGACAGGAAUGACUCCAGUAUGGUAACAACGUGAUUUCUAGUGUUUUGGUACGUAGAUUCAAGUCAGUCUGGGUCCAUUUCAGACAGCAUCGUCUCACAUCUGUUUGUUGUCUCAUAUCAAAGGAAUUUUUUCUCAUUUGGCUACAUACAUACUCCACCCAUAGUUUGCGUAUUGUCUUCUUAGGGUGAGGUUUGCCUGCUGAACAGCAAGACAAAAGAAGCUUAAAUUACAGAAGCAGAGAAGCAAAGGCAGCUUAGAGGCUCAAUACAGUACGGAUCAGUUAGAGUAUGACUUGGAAGUUGUUGUGUUCUGGGUCUUAGGUGGGAUGAGAUUUGGGUGUGAAUGUUACAGCCAAGUGUUUUUCCCUUGUUCAUUGUUCACCUGCUGCCAUGCAAGCCAGCUCUUCUUUUCCCUGCCUCUGCUUUUCUUGUUGCAUGCAUAUGCAUCGCAAAAUCUCUGCACAGAUUUAUUUUCCCGUUUUAAAAGUGUAUAGCUAGAAGUGGGG